CACAAGGUUCUCUUUAGAACCAUAUUUCAUCUCCAAUAUUAUAUUAU
rfam:Mustela putorius furo unplaced genomic scaffold scaffold00030, whole genome shotgun sequence.